rnacentral:rRNA from 1 species
CCUACGGGAGGCAGCAGUGGGGAAUUUUGGACAAUGGGCGCAAGCCUGAUCCAGCAAUGCCGCGUGAGUGAAGAAGGCCUUCGGGUUGUAAAGCUCUUUUGUCAGGGAAGAAACGGUGAGGGCUAAUAUCCCUUGCUAAUGACGGUACCUGAAGAAUAAGCACCGGCUAACUACGUGCCAGCAGCCGCGGUAAUACGUAGGGUGCAAGCGUUAAUCGGAAUUACUGGGCGUAAAGCGUGCGCAGGCGGUUUUGUAAGUCUGUCGUGAAAUCCCCGGGCUCAACCUGGGAAUUGCGAUGGAGACUGCAAGGCUAGAAUCUGGCAGAGGGGGGUAGAAUUCCACGUGUAGCAGUGAAAUGCGUAGAGAUGUGGAGGAACACCGAUGGCGAAGGCAGCCCCCUGGGUCAAGAUUGACGCUCAUGCACGAAAGCGUGGGGAGCAAACAGGAUUAGAUACCCUGGUAGUCCCGACGACCUAACCGACUAGUCUACUAGUUAGUUCGGUUUAACGUUUAACGUUACGGUUAACGUACGAGACUACGUCGUGAAGUAGACCGCCGUCGGGAGGUACGGUACGCGAAGAAGUUAAAACGUUAAAACGUUAAGUAAGUUAGUACGGACGUGAGACGUAGCCGAACGGACGACGACGACGGGAGGAGG